GACGAACGCUGGCGGCGUGCUUAACACAUGCAAGUCUAACGUAAAGGCCCUGCUUUUGUGGGGUGCUCGAGUGGCGAACGGGUGAGUAACACGUGAGUAACCUGCCCUUGACUUUGGGAUAACUUCAGGAAACUGGGGCUAAUACCGGAUAGGAGCUCCUGCUGCAUGGUGGGGGUUGGAAAGUUUCGGCGGUUGGGGAUGGACUCGCGGCUUAUCAGCUUGUUGGUGGGGUAGUGGCUUACCAAGGCUUUGACGGGUAGCCGGCCUGAGAGGGUGACCGGCCACAUUGGGACUGAGAUACGGCCCAGACUCCUACGGGAGGCAGCAGUGGGGAAUAUUGCACAAUGGGCGGAAGCCUGAUGCAGCAACGCCGCGUGCGGGAUGACGGCCUUCGGGUUGUAAACCGCUUUCGCCUGUGACGAAGCGUGAGUGACGGUAAUGGGUAAAGAAGCACCGGCUAACUACGUG
rnacentral:rRNA from 1 species